GUCCCUGUAGUACAAUGGAUAGCGCGUUGGACUUCUAAUCCAAGGAUCGUGCUUUCGAAUACCCUCUGGGAUG